rnacentral:lncRNA from 1 species
AGGCCCCAGGGUCGCCCUGCCUGUCCCAAGGUUGUCGCAAAGGCACAACAAAGGGGAGCCGUGGGUUGCCCGGAGGGGCCUUCAUGGGCAUUCUUGUGGGAAGCGGAUAGACGCUCUGGGAACCAGAAGAGAGUUCCGAUCCCGGCUCAGCCGUUUCCGGGCUGGGCGGAUUUGGGAGGACUGCGUCUCCUCAUGUAGCAGGGUGACAACACUGCCGACCCCACCGCAGGGUGCGCUGGCUGAUACAGCUAAAGACACAAGGCAUGAUUACAACCAGCAAGGAAACUGGAAAUAAUGGGAUCAGAUGAUGUGGAGCGGGCGUCUCUCCCCAGAGACUGGUGCCAAGUAUUUACGCUGCAGCAAGACAAAGGCAGGCCAUUUCUCUUUGGGUUUUAGCACUUGCUUCUGAAACAGCAGAACCCAAGCAGGGGGACCAACAGAGGAUGGAUGGGCGUCUGGCAUUGAUUGGUACCCAGCCUGAAUAAUACAUCAAGGGCCUGUGACUUCAUCACAAAAGCCUUGAGAGCCAGCCUCCUGCAAACCAGACUCCCCAGGGACUCGCCUCAGCAGGUGUCUGCAAUUGGAAAUGAAGUGGGAAGAAUGUUCCUGAA